rnacentral:rRNA from 1 species
CCUACGGGGGGCUGCAGUGGGGAAUAUUGGACAAUGGGCGAAAGCCUGAUCCAGCCAUGCCGCAUGUGUGAAGAAGGCCUUCGGGUUGUAAAGCACUUUCAGUGGGGAAGAAAGCCUUGGGGCUAAUACCCUCGAGGAAGGACAUCACCCACAGAAGAAGCACCGGCUAACUCCGUGCCAGCAGCCGCGGUAAUACGGAGGGUGCGAGCGUUAAUCGGAAUUACUGGGCGUAAAGCGCGCGUAGGCGGUCUGAUAAGCCGGUUGUGAAAGCCCCGGGCUCAACCUGGGAACGGCAUCCGGAACUGUCAGGCUAGAGUGCAGGAGAGGAAGGUAGAAUUCCCGGUGUAGCAGUGAAAUGCGUAGAGAUCGGGAGGAAUACCAGUGGCGAAGGCGGCCUUCUGGACUGACACUGACGCUGAGGUGCGAAAGCGUGGGUAGCAAACAGGAUUAGAUACCCUGGUAGUC